CGUCGCACGUGUCUCUUUGCAAAGCUACUGCUCGAUUUCUUUCGCGAAGAUUUGGGUUCGUUCUUCAUAGACUUCAACGUGGUUAAGGAGCUUAACUAACUUGAAGGCAAAGGUAAUAAAGGCGGCAAACCGGUGAGGGGCAGGAAGGAAGCGUGAUGCCAUAGGAAACGUGUUUUACUUCCGCUUAUGGGUUCUUGUGAGGUUUAAAAUGAAUUGAAAUUUAGUUUACAAACGUUUGUUGUAAAUAGUAUUAUUUUAUGUUUUCUUGAAUGUUUAAAAAUCAGGCCUGACUUGAAGAUGUUUUUUUU